rnacentral:rRNA from 1 species
GACGAACGCUGGCGGCGUGCUUAACACAUGCAAGUCGAACGGAAAGGCCCUGCUUUUGUGGGGUGCUCGAGUGGCGAACGGGUGAGUAACACGUGAGUAACCUGCCCUUGACUUUGGUAUAACUUCAGGAAACUGGGGCUAAUACCGGAUAGCAGCUCCUGCUGCAUGGCGGGGGUUGGAAAGUUUCGGCGGUUGGGGAUGGACUCGCGGCUUAUCAGCUUGUUGGUGGGGUAGUGGCUUACCAAGGCUUUGACGGGUAGCCGGCCUGAGAGGGUGGCCGGCGACAUUGGGACUGAGAUACGGCCCAGACUCCUACGGGAGGCAGCAGUGGGGAAUAUUGCACAAUGGGAGGAAGCCUGAUGCAGCAACGCCGCGUGCGGGAUGACGGCCUUCGGGUUGUAAACCGCUUUCGCCUGUGACGAAGCGUGAGUGACGGUAAUGAGUAAAGAAGCACCGGCUAACUACGUG